UAUGAAGGGGGCUAGCGUUGCUCGGAAUUACUGGGCGUAAAGCGCACGUAGGCGGCUUUCUAAGUCGGGGGUGAAAUCCUGGAGCUCAACUCCAGAACUGCCUUCGAUACUGGAGAGCUUGAGUCCGGGAGAGGUGAGUGGAACUGCGAGUGUAGAGGUGAAAUUCGUAGAUAUUCGCAAGAACACCAGUGGCGAAGGCGGCUCACUGGCCCGGUACUGACGCUGAGGUGCGAAAGCGUGGGGAGCAAACAGG
rnacentral:rRNA from 1 species